UGAGAAGUAAUUGUAAUUUGAGAUAUCAUAUAGUUACAAACAUAGUACAAUAUGGAGGUAAAACAAUUUUGUAUGAUAUUUAAGUGCAACCCUAAUGGUACUUUCGUUUUCGGUCAGUGUUAUUGAAAAUUAUGUUCAACAAGUGUCUCAUAAAUUUUUUUUAAAAAUUAACUAAAAAUCCAGAAGAAUGAAUGAAAUUUCUUUUUUCAAUUCAUUAUUCUAUGACAAAUCUCUUUGAAUUCUUCUAUUCACGCUAUGGGUGCAUGGUAUAAUUAUUACAAGUAGCAGCAAACCCAAGCUGAUUUGUCUCUAUAGUAAUGCUAGUGUCAAAGUCAGGCAGAGCCAGCUUACGUAUCAUGGUAGAAAAAUACAGGUAAAUGCAUCAACGCUUGGGAACAUUGAUAUGUCAAAAUAUUUUAAAUGUCUUUACAAAUAUAAUUAGAUUUUUAUAUGUUUUCUCAUACGACGUCAUUCGGAGGUUAUUAUAAUACACGUUUUUCAAUUUUUUUUACAAAUUGAAAUAAUUUUUCAUUCAACAUUUUCAAUUCCAAAAUUGGUUUGACAGUUUAUUGUCCCAGCAGCUGAGUCGAUGCGUAUACCUAUAUUAUUUUACCAUGUUACGUAUGGUUGUAUUUUUUACAGCAUUUUCGCGAUUCAAUCUGUCAUUUUGUCGCUUUUCUGUUUAAUUUCGCGAUUAAUUUUUUCAAAGGUAUAUUUAGCAACACUGACAGCCUGUUCCACGAUCUCGAAAGAAAAUUUGUGCGAACGAAGGCUACUCACUCACUUUCGUAUAAGAAUGCGUUCCACUAACUUUCGUUCUUUCUUUCGCAUAGCCUUACGUGAUUCAGUGUUGCUAAAUAUUUUUUUUGGAAAAAUUAAUCGCGAAAUAAAGCAAAAAAAGCGUCAAAUGUCUUAUUUAAACGCGAAAAAGCAGCAGUGGCUCUGUCUCAACUGACAUUUCAGUUGUAAACAAACAAAUUGUAAAUAAACAAACAAAAUAAAAUUUCUAGUGAUUGUGUUCAAACUAUUUGUGCUCUUAGAAAAUAAAAAAAAGAAUAUUUCCGUAGCCCUAUUUUUAUGGAGGAGGUUCGAAAUGUGCCACGGAGGCAUUUAAGAGAUGCUUCGAAUUUAUUUGAAGUACCUAACAACCAGUUUGUGGCCAACUUUCGUGUGUCGAAGGAAGUUUUCGGGCUCUUUUGGAUAUGAUGGAAGAGAAGUGGGUGCCCGGUAGCAGAACUACCCAAAUCCGCCCCGAUUUAAAACUUCUUCUGCUGCUUCCAAAAAUUGGCGUUCCUCUGGCGAACACAGGAUUCUCCUCCACUUACUCAACUAGUGCCCGCAGCUGUGUAGUUGAUGAUUUUUUCGUGCUGGAAUUGAGAAAAUAAAAAAAAUAUAUAUUUGUUGUUCACAUAUUAAA